UUUUUCUCAUCUCAGCAAGAGGAGUGGAGGUAUCUGCUACUCAAACCGAGAAAUCCACGGACAAAAGAGAGGAAAAACUCAGAAUUGAGAGGAAGGAAAGCCAGCAUACUUACCUGCUGGAAGUCCGGAGUCGAGUGGCUGGAUGAAGGAGAGAAGCAGCGUCGGCUAACCACUCACCUUUCAUCCGGAGGGCUGCUGCAAUUCCAACACCAGCAUGUGUUAGGCUUUUGUGAAACAGAGCAACGGUCAGGUUUUUUGGAGAGGACAGAAAAGUCUGAGGACCAGGACAAAAUUCCGGUCGUGAUAGAUGGCGAGCCAACCACUUUGAGGACGAUCCACCCCAAAGAAGAUACACACCCACACACUCAUACAUUCCAAUUACACUCACAAGGACCUUUGAAGUUGGCUAUUGCCAACUUAACUCUAUAUCCUUAAAGGGCCCCAACGAGUACUUUCAUUUUAUUUGAGUGUGCACACUAUUUAUUUUAUUUUAUACUUUUUCUGUACAAAUUGGACACUAAUUUUUUGUACCUUGUAACAAUACAAGAGUGGCUACUCAAAAGUUAACAUCGUGUCCAGGUCAUUAUUGCUGCUCAAUACUUUGGCUCCAUACGAAUUCGGCAUCUUCUGAUACUGGCCAGGGCCUCAUUACGAGCCCAAGUA